AGAUGCGUGGAUUGUGGCCUUAAUCUUUUCAAUUUUUCGCCAAAAUCAAAUGCGGCAAACCAAAAGUCUUUUAAUUACUUUUCACGGAUUUUUAGCCCACUCUCUAAUAACUAUUCUUGCUAGGGUUUUUCUUAUCAGUUCUAAUUUAAAGAGUUUCUCCCCUGUUUUGUCCUACUGCUGCUGAUCAAAGAAGAACGGUCAGAAGACCGUUGCUGCUGAUCGGAGAAGAACGGAUAAGGUGAACGACUAUAUUGCUAAACAAAUCCAAGAAAUUGAAGAGGAUACUAAUUUGGACCCGAUUGUUAAUGCUACAUUUGUGGUUCAAAUGAGGCAAGUCGUUCAAGACUUAUGGAUAACAUCACGGAUGAGUAUGAAUAAACCAACAUAGCUGACAAUAUGGUUCAUCUAAUGCUCAAGCUACUAGAAGAAGAUUUACUUUUGGGUUGUUAUUAGAUUAGAAAUUAUGACCCUGUAGAUGCUCUUGUUUUUAUUUUUAAGUAAGAACAUGUGUUUUAGUAAUAUUUAGUUUUUGGAAGUAUGUAAAUACUUAGUGCAUCAGUUGUAUUGACCUUUGCAAAUAUAUAUCAUAUAUUAAUUUUUAUAUAUA